rnacentral:rRNA from 1 species
UACGGAGGGGGCUAGCGUUGUUCGGAAUUACUGGGCGUAAAGCGCACGUAGGCGGCUUUGUAAGUUAGAGGUGAAAGCCCAGGGCUCAACCCUGGAAUUGCCUUUAAGACUGCAUCGCUAGAAUUGUGGAGAGGUAAGUGGAAUUCCGAGUGUAGAGGUGAAAUGCGCAGAUAUCAGGAGGAACACCGGUGGCGAAGGCGGAUCUCUGGGCCGAUACUGACGCUGAGGAGCGAAAGCGUGGGGAGCGAACAGG